CCAGACAAUCGCGGACGCCGCCCGGUGGAUGGCUCGGCUCAGGCGCCGAGGAAGGGCGCGGCAAGCGGCGAUAUGCCCGGGGAAGGCGCAGGCAGCCGUUGAACCCGGGAUCCCCGAAUGGGAAUUCCUGCUACGGGGUAACACCCCGUAGCAUCCGGGAAACCGGGCAACCGGGAGUACCGGAGGGGAACCCCCCGAACGGAAACAUCUUAGUAGGGGGAGGAAGAGAAACCAAUAGGGAACCCCUGAGUAGGGGCGACCGAAAGGGGGAAAGCUCAAACCAAAUCUCCACGGGAUAACCGUGGAGAGAUGUGGUGUUGAGGCAGCCUAUUGAUGACGGGCCCGACCCACGGUAGCCGAAGUGGGCUGGAAAGCCCCGCCGUAGAGGGUGAUAGCCCCGUAGGCUAAACCGUGGGGGGACGAGAUAGGUUGCCGGAGUACCACGGCUUGGUUUUGCCGUGGGAAGCUGGGAGGCACCGACUUCCAAAGCUAAAUACGUCCUGAGACCGAUAGCGAACUAAGUACCGUGAGGGAAAGCUGAAAAGUACCCCGGAAGGGGGGUGAAAAGAGCCUGAAACCGGGCGGCUAAUCACGGUGCGGCCUGAAAGGGAUGAAGCUUCCCGAAGGAAACCCGGGUGACCGGGGAGUACGAGGGGGUAGACCGAGGUCGCACCGUCCGUCUUGAAACACGGGCCGGGGAGUUCACAGCCGUGGCGAGGCUAAGGGGUUUAACCCCGAAGCCGUAGGGAAACCGACAAGCCCGCAACCGGUUUAACCGGUGAGGGGCGGGGUCUGAAAGGGCCUGGAGUCACGGCUGUGAGACCAGAAACCGGGCGAUCUAGGCGGGGGCAGGGUGAAGCCGGGGGUUUCCCCGGUGGAGGCCCGAAGGGGUGCUGACGUGCAAUUCGCUCCCAUGACCUCCGCCUAGGGGCGAAAGACCAAUCUAGCCCGGUGAUAGCUGGUUCCCCCCGAAGUGUGUCUCAGCACAGCCCCACCGGAGGGUGCCUACGGGGUAGAGCUACGGAUUGGAGGUGGCUGGCGGGAUGACCGCCAGUGCCUCCAGUCCAACUCCGAACCCGUAGGCCCCGUAGAUGGUGGGAGUGGGGCACCCGGGGUAAGCCUGGGUGCCGAGAGGGGAACAACCCAGACCGGGGUUAAGGCCCCUAAGUGCCGGCUAAGUGCCAAUUAAAGGGCGUCCCGAGCCUUAGACAGCGGGGAGGUGGGCCUAACAGCAGCCAUCCUCUAAGGAGUGCGUAACAGCUCACCCGCCGAGGCUCGGGGCCCCGAAAAUUGGUCGGGGCUUAAGCCGGCCGCCGAGACCCCGGGGCACCACCGCUAUGCGGUGGUGAUCCGGUAGGGGGGCGCCGAGGUGGGGCAGAAGCCGGGCCGUGAGGUCCGGUGGACCCGCCUCGGGUGCGGAUCCCGGCGGUAGUAACAGCAAAGAGGGGUGAAAACCCCCUCCGCCGGAAGGGCCAGGGUUCCUCGGCAACGUUUGUCGGCCGAGGGUUAGCCGGCCCUAAGGCGGGCCGUAACUCGGUUCCGCCGAAAGGGAAAGGGGUUAAUAUUCCCCUGCCGCGGGGGUAGGUGCGGCAACGCAAGCCGCGCCCCCGACGCCUCGGGGUAGGCCGACUGGGGCUGCCAUGCCCCAGCUAACCGUCCGAAGGCCGGGGAGUGCCGUAAAGGCGAGAACCGGCCGAAGGAGGGAAUGGCCGCCCGUUAGGGCGGUUCGGCCGAGCCCUGGGGCCCAUGAAAAGGGGGCGCGGAACGAUCCCCCGCGCCCGUACCGAGAACCGACACAGGUGCCCCUGGGUGAGGAGCCCAAGGCGUGCGGGGGCUAACCCGGGCUAGGGAACUCGGCAAAUUGGCCCCGUAACUUCGGGAGAAGGGGUGCCUGCGGAUCCUAGGUAAACCCUGGGAUCCGCAGGUCGCAGUGACUAGGGGGUCCUGACUGUUUAAUAAAAACAUAGGUCCCCGCUAGCCCGAAAGGGUGAGUACGGGGGCCGAAUCCUGGCCACUGGCGGUCCGUGAAACCGGGGUACAACCCGGCGAAGCGCCGCUGAAGGCCGGGGGUAACUCUGACCCUCUUAAGGUAGCCAAAUGCCUUGCCGGGUAAGUUCCGGCGCGCAUGAAGGGAUCAACGAGGGCCCCACUGUCCCAGCCCGGGACCCCGUGAAGCCCACGGAGCCGGUGCACAGGCCGGCAUCCCCCCGUAGGGAGAGAAGACCUCGUGGAGCUUUACUGCAGCCCGGUGUAUGCUCCCGGCCCUUGCUACAUAGCGUAGGCGGGACCCUGUGAUGAUAGGCCUCCGGGUCUAUCGGAGGGGACAAUGAAACACCGCCUAGCAAGGGCCGGGAGCAUUACCCCGGGGAAUCCCGGGGGACAGCACCGGGUGGGCAGUUCGGCUGGGGCGGCACGCCCGCGAAAAGAUAACACGGGCGCCCAAAGGUCGGCUCAGGCGGGUCAGAACUCCGCCGUAGAGUGCAAGGGCAAAAGCCGGCCUGACCGGACCCUUGACAGUAAGGGGUCCGGCCGGGAAACCGCGGCCUAGCGAACGCUCGUGCCCCCCUCGGUGGGGGCCGGGCAUGACAGAAAAGUUACCCCGAGGAUAACAGGGUCGUCGCGGGCGAGAGCCCACAUCGACCCCGCGGUUUGCUACAUCGACGUCGGCUCUUCCCAUCCUGGGGGUGCAGCAGCCCCCAAGGGUGGGGCUGCCCGCCCAUUAAAGGGGAACGUGAGCUGGGUUUAGACCGUCGUGAGACAGGUCGGACUCUACCCACGGGGGGUGCGGGCCGCCUGAGGGGAAGGCGACCUCAGUACGAGAGGAACGGGUCGCCGCGGCCUCUGGUGUAGCGGCCGUCCGGCUGGGCGUAUGCCGCGUAGCUACGCCGUGGGGGGUAACCGCUGAAAGCAUCUAAGCGGGAACCCCUCCCCGAAAAGAGGCGGCCGUUCCCGGACAGGGUUUCCUGUCCGGGAGGAGGGCUCCCGUAGAAGACGGGGUUGAUGGGGCGGGGGUGUAAGCCCCAAGGGUCUUAUGGCCCGAGGGGUUCAGCCCACCGCUCCCAAUCGCCCGACAAGUUGUCUGG
rfam:Ignisphaera aggregans DSM 17230, complete genome.